GGAACAAUGCAGCAUUCAGGCAUAAUGAGCUGAAAGUGCCCGGUGCGCCAGGUCAAGUCAGCAGCCUCUGAGCUCCUCUCCAAGAUCCCGUUUGCCAAGGUCAGGGAAUAUCUCAAAAAUAGUGUUCUGCAGAAUAAACCCUAUGGAGCUGUGGAGACAGCAUGCAAGCAAGCUGGGGGAAGGGCAGAGGGAAAGGAAAGACAGAAUCUCAAGCCAACUCUUCCCUGAGCAUGGAGCCCAACAAGGAGCUUGAUCCCACGACCACCCUGAGGUCAUGACCGGAGCCAAAAUCAAGACUUGGAUACUUAACCGACUGAGCAAUACAGGUGCUCGAAAAGGAAAAUGAUUUUCUUUUUCUUU